rnacentral:lncRNA from 1 species
UCAAUUGCAGCCGAACAACCCUAGCUUCGAACAGUUAUCAACCAUCAUCAGGAUCAAGACAUAGUUUCCCUAGCUCAAGAAAGCAAAAUCUACUUGAGUAUGAUUUUAUCUGGCUAAUAAGCUCUCUCUAAAAAGGAUCUAAAGGUACAGAGGUAGACCUCAACAAGUGAAAGGAUGUAAAAGAGUUAAAUCUACAUAAUUCUAAAGACCUGCCACCUUCAUAACCAUUACACUUUAAGAUGAAGAGCAAGGAUCCCAAGGGACAGGCCACCACCUCAAGGAAAUUAAGGAGGGUCGAGACUUGGAAAAUUGUUUC